rnacentral:rRNA from 1 species
UUGGAGGGCAAGUCUGGUGCCAGCAGCCGCGGUAAUUCCAGCUCCAAUAGCGUAUAUUAAAGUUGUUGCAGUUAAAAAGCUCGUAGUUGAAUUUCGGGGUUAGUAGGCUGGUCAUGCCACAGGUAUGCACUGGUCUUACUGAUUCCUCCUUCCUGAUGAACCGUAAUGCCAUUAAUUUGGUGUUGCGGGGAGUCUGGACUGUUACUUUGAAAAAAUUAGAGUGUUUAAAGCAGGCUAACGCUUGAAUACAUUAGCAUGGAAUAACGAAAUAGGGCGUUCGAUCUUAUUUUGUUGGUUUCUAGGAUUGACGUAAUGAUUAAUAGGGAUAGUUGGGGGCAUUAGUAUUCAAUUGUCAGAGGUGAAAUUCUUGGAUUUAUUGAAGACUAACUACUGCGAAAGCAUUUGUCAAGGAUGUUUUCAUUAAUCAAGAACGAAAGUUAGGGGAUCGAAGACGAUCAGAUACCGUCGUAGUCUUAACCAUAAACUAUGCCGACUAGGGAUCGGAUGAUGUUAAUUUUAUAAUGACUCAUUCGGCGCCUUACGGGAAAC